AUCCCCCAGAGUGCUAUCCACCAACCCCCUUUCUGCAAGGGGGCGGGCCUAUCAGCCUCCCUUCCUUCUUCAUUCUCUGUCCUGGAACAUCCACUGCCUGGUGAGGACCAGUGUACAAAAUACAAGUGUAUCGUAGGCUACUUUGCAUCGAUGUGGCAGACACUAUGACCAAAAGCAACACAGGGCACACAAGCUUUAUGAGGCUCAUGUGUCCUGAUCCUUGGCCGUCUUUGAUGAGAAGUCAAGGCAGGAACUCCAUCAGGGCAGGAACCUGGAGGCAGGAAGUGAAAGAGAGCCUUCAGAGGAGGGCUGCUGACUGUCUUGCUAACCUGACUGUCCUUCUCAGGACAUGCUGCCCAGUAGUGGCGGAUCCCCGCUGGGGGCCAGGCUGGGGUGAGGUCUUCUUCUUCUUCUUGGUUCUUCCUGAGGCAGCUGAGGGGGGAAAGUACUAGCAAAGCGUAAGACUUUGUCUUACCAGGUACAGGGUUAAGAAUUUGUCUUUCAGGGUUGGGGAUUUAGCUCAGUGGUAGAGCGCUUGCCUAGCAAGCGCAAGGCCGUGGGUUCGGUCCCCAGCUCCGAAAAAAAAAGAAAAAAAGAAAAGAAAAGAAAAGAAAAGAAAAGAAAAGAAAAGAAAGAGAAUUUGUCUUACAAGCUCUCUGCUGCUCUUCAACACCGUGGAGGAAGUGACUGACCAGGAAAUAGUGAACAAGAAGAGCUGAAGGAGGGCCUGGCUUAGAUGACCACAGAGUAUCGUCCUUGAUAAGACUGCUGAAGUGAAAGGUUUGAUUUGGCUUCUAAGAGCAAGAAAUCUGAGGUUAAAAUAUUUUCCGGAAUUGUCAGAAGACCAGGCCUAGGCAUCUGAUGUUCUCCUUUCCCCGGUCCAGCAUACAGAUAGGAGGAGAAUAGAUUCUUGUAUGUCCUGUCUAUGUUGAUCCAUUAGAACUAGAGUUUCAAGAGGUUGUUAGGCACACUGUAGGUGCUGGGACUCCAACCUGGGGCCUCUGCAUGAGCAGCCAGUGCACAUAACCACUGCCCUGUGUGUCACCACACCCAUAUGAUCUUACUGAGGAUAAACGCAAAUGCCAGAUUAACUGGUGGGUUAUCUUCUGCCACAUUGAUUAAAUAUGUCCCUACAGCAUGGACCAAGUUUGCUUUGGUGGAUAUAAAUAGUAGACCCUGGUUUUCUCCUGGGAUUGCUCAGUAGGUGGCCCCUGACAACUGCCACUUCAUUUCCUUGGGAUUGUGUUCUGUGGGCUUUAUGACAGAGCUGGGCUCCCGCUUCUUACCAUGCUGCCUGGUGAAGAUUGACUCUGUGAUGUUACCCCAGCUCCAAGGAUGUCUCUGUGCAGUGGUAUGAUCUGUCCUUGGGUCAGUUGCCAUUCACUAUGCACAGUGAUGUGCAAGGCCCUUGCUAGGGGCUGGAUCCCAGGAUCACUGGUGUGGUGGACAAGCUGUGACCAAGGAGCUGACACUCGGGCAGGGUCCAGGGCACUCGGGAAGACAAAGGUGAUGAGGAGAUGGGAAAGUCAGAAGAUGAGGAGGCCAUCUUGAUAGGAGGACAAUGUUGGAAUCCCAGAAAAAAGAAGCCAUGUUCCUGCCUGGGGCUCCAUCAUUCUUCACAUAUAUAUGCAUGUUGAGUUUCUAAGCAGAUGCCUCCAGUUAUGAUUCUGACCUUAAGUAAACAGUGAAGGGUCACGAGGCUUUUCUGACAGGAACAACACAGGACGGAGCCAAAAUCCUGAUUCUGUGCACCGAAGUCCUUCCCUGUUUGUGGUUGCUGAGGACGGUCUGAGGAGAAAGACGGGACCUGCUGUGUCAGUGAAUGCCCAACCUCUGGAACUCUGUGAGUUGGAACUGUAGUUGCUGCUAAUGCUGCUGCCUCUGAGGCAAAAAUCUAGUUCAGCUUGUGAGAAGAUGAGCUUUCCAUCCCCU
ensembl:lncRNA